UACUUGAAGUUCAUUGGAUUGUAGAAUACGAGUUUUCUGUUUUAUGUAAAACAGAUAGUAUGAUAGUUUUUUAAAAAAAUGUUACAAAGUUUAAAAAACGGAGAUACAUAUAAUAAAAAUGGAGGUACAUAUAAUAACAACGAAAAGUUAAGUAAUUUCAUAAUAAAAUAAAAUAAAAAUGGAUUUAGGCUGAUCUUCAAGGUUGAAACAAAUAAGUGAGGGUGCUCAGUACGAGGAUGUACUUUCACGUCUCGCGGAACAUGCCAACAAAUUUUAUUCUCAUAUAUUCUCUCUCCCCCCUCUUCGCGAUUCUGCAACAAAUUCAAAUCGUCACACCUCUCUCUCUAUAAAUAUAGGCCAUGAACCAGCAAACGUGAAAUCUUCUUCUGGGCUUUACUGCGUUGAAAUGUGAAAGGAAGUAGAAAUAAACACCUCUUCAAAAGCAAAAGAUUCAUGGCGUUACUCUGCUUUUCACUAGUCUUAAUCUCUGUGUUUCCAAGCGCCAUUGCCAAAAUUCCGACGACUCUCGAUGGGCCUUUUGACCCCAUUACGGUCCCUUUUGAUAACUCUCUUCGUGGCCACGCCAUUGAUUUGCCCGAUUCUGAUCCUCGUGCCCGAAAACCUGGCAGAACUUUGGAACCUGAACAGAUUUCUCUCUCUUUGUCCACACCUGAUGCAAUUUGGGUUACCUACAUCACAGGGGAUUUUCACAUUGGUAAUUGCACGAGGCGCUUGGAUCCUUCAAGUGUGAAGAGUUUGGUUCGUUAUGGCCAGCUGAGAUACCCUCUGGCCCAUAAGGCCACUGGUUAUUCUCUGGUUUAUGAGCAGCUCUACCCAUUCCAGGGCAUGCAAAAUUACAGUUCGGGCAUAAUCCACCAUGUUCGUCUCACUGGCCUGAAACCAGGAACAAGGUACUAUUAUCGAUGCGGGGACCCAUCAAAUGGGGGAAUGAGCCCAUUCAAGUCUUUCAGGACAAUGCCAGAAGUUCACCCCAAAAGUUAUCCGGGGAGAAUUGGGGUCGUGGGGGACUUGGGUCUGACAUAUAACACCACCUCUACUGUGGAUCACCUGCGUCGAAACAAUCCAGAUCUCAUUCUUCUUGUUGGGGAUGUUAGUUAUGCGAAUCUCUACCUGACUAAUGGCUCUGGUGCUGAUUCUUAUGACCAUGCCUUCCCUGAUACACCAAUCCAUGAAACCUACCAGCCCCGAUGGGAUUACUGGGGAAGGUUUAUGGAGCCACUGGUGUCAAGAGUUCCAAUGAUGGUGGUUGAAGGGAACCAUGAAAUUGAAGCACAAGCUUUCAACAAAACGUUUGUGGCUUACAGCUCAAGGUUUGCAUUCCCCAGUGAGGAGAGUGGAUCCGAGUCCACAUUUUACUACUCAUUCGAUGCCGGGGGCAUACAUUUCAUCAUGCUUGGUGCCUACACCUCUUACUACAAGUCAGGAGACGAGUACAAAUGGUUGCAGAAGGAUCUUGAGAAGGUGAACAGGGCUGUGACUCCAUGGCUGGUAGUUUCUUUGCACCCACCAUGGUACAACACCUACAAGGCUCAUUACUGAGAAGCUGAAUGCAUGAGGGUGGAGAUGGAGGGACUCCUCUACUCCUAUGGUGUUGACAUCAUCUUCAAUGGACAUGUUCAUGCCUAUGACAGAUCAAACAGGGUAUAUAACUAUAUGUUGGAUCCAUGUGGUCCCGUUUAUAUCACAAUUGGGGAUGGGGGUAACAGAGAGAAGAUGUCUGCUCCUCAUGCUGAUGAUAAGGGUGGAUGCCCUGAGCCGUCAUCCACACCAGACUCUUUCACUGCAGGCCCAGCUGCUGUGCUGCUAAUUUCACUGCAGGCCCAGCUGCUGGCAUGUUUUGCUGGGACCGUCAGCCAGUAUUCGGUGCUUAUCGAGAGAGCAGUUUUGGCCAUGGAAUCCUAGAGGUGAAGAAUGAAACAUAUGCUCUUUGGACAUGGCAUAGGAACCAGGAUAUGUAUAACAGCAUAGGUGACCAGAUUUACAUAGUGAGGCAGCCCAACAAGUGCCCUGCCCACCCUAAUGUGACUAAGCCAUUUAGGGGACCUGGUUCUGUCGCAACAAAACCAAUGGUUGCUGCUCGGCAGGUUCUUUUUUGGGUGGUGGUAGGGCUGACAUUGUUUUGGGGCAGCUCGAUUAACGUGGCAGAAGGCUUGGACUUGGGCUUGGACCCUGCAUCAAUGUCGAAACUUUGGUUUCAAACUUCGUUUAAUUUUCAUGAAAUUUUUUGUCGAAAAUCUAGUAAAAUGUGGGGUGAAAUUUUCGGUUGAUCUUUUGAUUGGUAUUCUUCGGGAAGUUGGUGUUUGCCAAGUAUGCCAAGAUAAAUUUGUCAUUUUUUUUUUUGACAACGAUAAAAUUUUCAUUGACGAUGCAUCUGGUCAGAGUUGCCAAUCCUUGGAUUGUAGUUGUAGUUUGUUGGAUUUUAUUGGGUUUCCAUGCAGAAAUCUAUUAAACUCCAUUGAUUAUUU